GACAAUUAGUGAUUUUUCUGUGGUUGUUGGGUUUCCCGCAGAAAAAAUUUCCAUUUUCUUAUCUAAGGUUUUUGAGGAAUCCCUUUUAUUGAUAUUCAGUUAUUGAAACUUUUCGACAAUUUAAUGUAUAGAAUAGGUCAAAAAAACAUAUGAAUGAACAUCUGUAAUACAACGACUCCCAAUGGAAGUGAAUAAAUAUAAACAGGUUUAUUUAGCCGCUAGUAAGAACGAUGUUAACCAACUCAAUUGUCUCCUGCGACAAGAAAUUGAAGAUGGUAAUUUGGAUGAUUUACUUUCGAAGGUGUGUAUGGAGCUGGAACUCAAUCGUGUACACCUUUCCGAUGAUAUUAAGCAAAUUUUGGAGCGAAAAUUGAUGAGCCUACGUUUUUUCCACAAGCAGUCUAAGUUUUACUUGACUUCACAAGAGGUUCGUGAUCACAUACAAUUUACGAUACAACUUAUAAAUUCUUUGGAAACAUGUAAAGAUAAGGAUGAAUUGUUCAUAGGAAAUUUGACAUUUAUAGCUAAGCAAAUUUUUACGCUUAAGAGAUUACUUAAGUCGACUUAUGAUAGGCUUCCUUGGGAAGAAAUUGAAUUCUGUAUAUUGUCAUAUAUUAGAACUUUUAAGGAUCAGAAUGAAAUUGCAUUGUUUUCAAGAGCUAUUCUUAGUAAAUGCAAUAUAAUUACAUAUUUGGAAAGCUUUGGUAAACAUCUUGAAAAUUUACUGAAUCAUGUGUUGAUUAUGAGACCACAGGAACUCUCCAGACUCCCAAAUUUGAAACGGGAUGAAGUUGUCGAGGAUAUAAUCGAUAAAUAUCCCGAAUUCAAGUCUCUUUAUGAUGAUCAUGAAAGAAUAAGAGACAUUCAUUCGCUCAACGUUAUGCUGAAUUACAUGGAACUUGUCAGGUCUAUUGGAUUGGGAGAAAAGAAUGGUAUAUUUAUUUUGAUGAGAGCUUUACAGGUUAUAGGCGAACAUUUGAAGAAUACCCUGGAGUCUCCUAAGUUGUCCCAGACUACUAUAAAUUAUCUUUUCACCUUCUUCAGCCAGAGUACCAGAAACUUGGUGAUCAAUUUAAGAAACACCUUGGCCCAUCAGUGUCUUUCAAAGCAUGAAGAAUUAUUUGAGAAUAUUGAAUGCAACUUUUUGAGUGGGAUCAAAAACGAUAUUGAAAAACUUGGGGGACAGAUUGGUAACAUUUUGUCAAAGUACAAAAUGAAAGUUCUCAUAGAACUUGGUGAUAAAUUUUUGAACACAAAUGAUGAGAAAAUCAUGAAAGAAGUGGCUUCUGUGGUGAAAAAUUUAGGAACUGGUAAGGUGCUCAGAGAAGACCUAUCUGAGCUGAAGAACAACGAUAUCACUAGGUUAAAAGAUCUCAUAGACCAGUAUCGGUGCAAAAUUAAAGGUAAAUGCGUCUAUAGCGAAAUACUUUUCGAAGCUAUCGAUCAAUCAUUCAUUAAUGUUCAUAUAGAGGCAUCUAUAGAUUAUGGUACAGUUUUGCUGCCCUUCUGUGCUUUAUAUAAAAGGUUUGAUAUGAUGAUUGAAAGUUCAGACAAUAAAACAAACUGCAUAAGAUCGAUAAAAUAUAGUCUGAAGCAGAUUCUGAAAACUUUAUCACCGCAAAUAGAAGCCUCCAAAUUGAGUACAAUAGCCGAAAUGGUAGUAUCGAUCCACAGCUUGUCUUCUGGAUCUCAAGAUGAUGAAGUGGCGAAACUUUUUUUUGAAAUAUUGCACAUUAUAAAAUUCGAAGUUAACAGUGUCCAAUGGACUGAAAAGUUCGGGAGAAAAAUAAAGAAAAGGGAAAUGGAAGUGGAGAGAUUCAAUUCCGAGAAUUCUGAGGAGGUGACAAAGAUGAAGAAACAGGAGAAAUUGAAUCAGUUGAGGGAAAUCUUUGACGGAGUCACUUACACCCAGUUCAAGAGUAAUAAGAAGCUUCAAGCUGUUGUGGAAAUAUUUCUUUUAGAUUUGAUUCCGAUGUUGAAAUAUGAUCAUUUCAAAGCGAAGUAUUUUUUUAACGAUAAUUAUCCAUCCCUUACUGGUGUUGAUCUGAGAAAUCACUUGGCACAUAAUAAUGUCAUCGUGGAAGUUCUUCUGGAUUCAACCUCAGCUAUAUUCCUCUUCGUUAAAAAACUAUUAGAAGUUGAAGGAAAAUCUGACGAUUUUGACUUGACUGAAGUUCAGUAUUUCAACUUAUCUAGAAUGAAGAACUCUUACGCGACAACUGUUGAUAUUUUAAAUAGGAAACACAACAUGUUCGUCGCUUUGAAGGAGAAUAAUUUCGACGCAUUCUCAGAAUGCAUCAAGGAAGGCGCAGAUAUCAGAUCUAGGGACACGGAUUUGUCCACAUGUCUACACUUUGCAAUGAGAAGACCUAAAACGAUCAAACUGACGAAGUUCCUUUUGAAGGAGGGCCUGUCCACUUUUAAAAUGAAGAAUUUGGAAAACCAGAGCCCUCUUCACAUAGCGGUUACGAAAACGAACCUGGAAGUUGUAGAGUUUCUGCUCAAAAAUUUUGACACUGACAUCAAUGAGAUGGAUUCUUUCAAGAGAACACCAGCUCAUCUGGCAGCCUUCUCCGGUAAUGAGCACAUUUUGAACAGUCUGUGGAACCACGGUGCCGAUUUCACUAAGAAGGAUUACUUCCCUUUAACACCCUUGCAGUACGCGGCGCUUAGCGGUAAACCUUCCGCCGUCCAGUUCUUCUUCAAUAAAGACCUCUUCUACAAAUUAGACGACGCUAUCAGUGGUUUCACAACUCUACACGUCGCUGCAGAAGAAGGUUUGGUCAAAAUUGUGAACUAUCUGCUGUCGAAAAACGUGAAGGUUGACGCUAGAACGGACGUAGGUGCCACACCCCUCCAUCUAGCCGCCUUAUACGGCCAUCUUGAUACGGUUAAGGCUCUGAUACGAGCAGGCGCAGACGUGAAUUCCUCAAACAUGAACGGCAACUGCGCACUGCACUGGGCUUGCGAGACGGGCAGGGAAGAAAUUGUCAAGGUGCUCAUAAAGAACGGAGCUGAUGUUAAUGUAACGGAUCACGAGAAUAAUUUCGCCCCCAUCAACUAUUUGGCCAAGGACGGAUUCACCGACAUCCUCAAAAUAUUCCUGGAGAACGGGGCGGACGUCAACGUUAAAACUAAGGACGGUUUAACGCCCCUUUUGUACGCUGUCAAGGGUAGGCAUUUGGAAAUCGUGGAUUUGUUGAUGAAACAGGAUGGCAUAGAAGUGAAUAGAUCGAAUAUACACAGAAUGACACCGUUGCACGAUGCUUCUAUGAAUGGAGACGUGGAAAUUGUGAGACUUUUGAUUAUGAAGGGCGCUGAUUUAGAUUGUAGAAAUCUAGAAGGUAUGACGCCACUUCACUUCGCUUGUAAGCAUGGCCACGAAGCUGUCGUGGAUCUGUUGAUCGAGCACGGUGUCCCGAUUCAUGCCGAGACUUCUAGUACGCGAUGGCUUCCUUUACACAUGGCCGCGGAGUCUGGAAAUGAAAACAUAAUGGUUAAAUUGAUCAGGAAAGGUUCUCCGAUAAACGCCACCACGUCCAAAGGCGCCAACUGUCUCCACAUAGCUGUCAAAAACGGGAGGAACAUCCUGGACCUACUGAUAAGGUUUGGGGUCGACAUACACGCUAAAACUAAGGACCGUGGGUUCACCCCUCUGCAUGAAGCAGUCAUCGCUAAUAGCCUCCAAAUGGUGAAGUGUCUGUUAAACGCAGGAGCCCACAUCGACGAUCAAGAUUACGCAGGUAACACGCCAAUUCAUUUGGCCAUCGAAAGGGACAGCAACGAGAUCUCGGUGUUCCUAUUCAAAAACGGAGCGAGAAUCGAUUUAUCGAAUAAAAAGCAUAAAACUCCUUUCCUAUCGGCGGUGAAAUAUAACAGGGAGACCUUGAUACAGAUGGGCCUUUCGUCACGUUUGAUCCAGGACGAGCUGAUUUUCAAAGCAAUAUGCGACGCUAUUUACGAAGGAAACACGAAAGUUGUGAGGUUGUUACUGAAACACGCCUCUCAUUUAGACUUGUCCGCAUACUGUGAUGAAAACCAAAAUACGCUACUUCAUAUUGCCUCUAUGUUCGGAAGAGUGGAUGUUGUGGAGAUGCUGCUGGGUCGUGGCGUUGUUGUGGAUUCGAGGAAUAAGUACGGUCACACCCCUCUUUUCUUAGCGGCCUCGAAGGGGUUCGAUGAAAUCGUCGAAAUGUUGUUGAAAAAAGGCGCCUCUAUCAAUCCGCAAGACCGCGAUGGUGUAACUCCCCUACACUUUAAUUCAGAAACCAACCACGAAAGAAUGGUAGAGUUCCUUCUAAACCACGGCGCUGACGUCAACGUGUUGGAUAAUGAAAAUAGGUUACCUAUCGAGCUGGCCGCGGCCAAGGGUCGUAUAACGUCUGUGAAAUUGUUCCUGGAGAAGAAUAAGGGCUUCUUGAAUCGUCGAGGUAAUCAGAAUUUCUCUCUGUUGCACAUCGCCACGCAGUUCGGUCACAAGGAGAUCGUGAGGUUUUUGCUGGACCAAGGCGCCGAUAUGCACUUGACAAACGAUAAGGGCUCCAAGGCCAUUCACAUCGCAGCCAGGGAAGGUUUCACCGAUAUAAUCGAUGUUUUCCUGGAGAAAGGUAUGGAUUUGGACGUUCGCGGUAUCGCCAACCAAUCGAUGUUACACUACGCGGCAUCCACGGGUAGAUUGGAAGUUGUUAAGUAUCUACUGGAGCGAGGUUGCGAUAUCAACACCGUUAACGAAGACGGAAUAUCGGCGUUACAUGUGGCGACGAAUAAGGGACACAAGGAAGUCAUCAAGUAUUUACUCAACAACGGUGCUAUCUACAAUAGUAUAGCGGGGUUUGAUACGGACCACGAAGUCAAAACUAUGUUGUCUUCUGUUGGAAAAUUGUUUUCGCUUAUAAAAGACGGCGACAUCAAGGAAAUUGAGGAGAUUAUCAAGGAGGGAGUACCUUUGAACUGUUCAGAUACCAACAAAGGAUCAGUCUUGCACUACGCAGUAUACAAAGGAAGAUCAGACGUCGUGGAACUACUACUACGAAACAAGGUUUCAACGAAUACUAAGCAUAAGAACGGAUGGACGCCUUUACAUUACGCCGCCAAAUAUUCCAACGAUAGAAUAGUGUUUUUGCUGCUUUGGCACGGCGCGAAAUACAACGCACAAGCCGACAACGGUAAAACACCGCUGGAUUUCGCCGAAAAGACGUCCAUCAGGAAUUUGCUGCUGUUGAUAAACGAUUCCUUCGAGAGCGUACGCAAGAAGAAAAUUUCGAUAAUCGGCCUAUUGAAAAAGAUCAAAGACAAGGAUGUCGUCAAGGCCGUGGUGCGAGCUGAAGAUGAACAUGGAACAACGCUGAUAACGUCCGCCAUCAAAAACGAUUUCCCAAAAUUGGAACAGUUGGAGGAUAUGCUUCAAGGGGACGUCAGAUCUCAAAUGAAAAGCAUCGACGAUUUUCUGUACCAGGAAAGGUUCCAAGAGGGAAAGGACCUAUUGAUGAAGGUUUACGAGAAAAGGAGGGAGAUCUUCGGCGAUCAUAAUCCGGCCACUUUGAGCAUCAAGAGUAAAAUAUCCUUGGUGCUAUACAAAAUGCAAUUGUACGAACAGUCCUUGAAGUUCUUAGGGGAAAUUUGUGAGAAGCUGAAGGAUUGCUUAGGGCCCGACCACAAGCUGAUUUUGAAGGAGAGGAGUUCUAUGGCCCUAGUCCUGUUUCGGCUAGGAAGAUUCGAGGAAUCCCUGAAAUUAUACGAAGAAGUUCAUAAGAUCCAAAAGAAUCUCAUACCGCCCCAUCAUCAAGACUCUCUGAACACCAUAAAGCACAUGGCUUUGACUCUGAUGAGCAUGGGUGAAUUGGAUAGGGCGCUGAAGAUCUACAAGGAUGCGCUCAAGUUGGAGGAGAAGGAAUACGGUCUGCUUCAUCCUGGCACGUUGGUUACCAAGAAUAACAUCGCUUUGAUACUGUCCAAACAAGGGAAGAACGACGAGGCCUUGGCUCUGUUCAAGGAAGUGUACGUAGGAAGGGAGUUAGUUUUGGGAAAAUACCACUCCGAUACCUUGAGAACCAUACACUACCAAAUAUGCGUUUACAAAGACCAAGAAAAAUACGACGAGGCUUUGGAAGCGUUCAAGAAGUUGUUGAAAAGACAGAAAGAUCACUUAGGGGCGCACCAUUUGGACACUCUCAAUACCCAAGCUGAAAUGGCGGACCUUCUGAUAGGGCAGGGUAAGAUUGUUCAUGCUUUCAAAAUCUUCAAAGAGAUCAAGGACCAUAAGAUGGCGGUGCAAGGGCCAGAUCACCCAGAUGUGAUGAUGAUCGCCAAACGUAUGGAGGUGAUAGUGGAGCAGUACAAAAAAAUCGGCCUCAACAGCAACCUGGACAGUUUUUCGGAUAACCUCUUAUGCACCAUGAACAAGGCAGCGAGGAAUGGCGACAUUGACACCAUUGAAAAACUUGUUAGGAGUGGCGUUGACGUCGGCGAAAGGGACAAGGAGGGCAGGAACUGCCUGCAUUACGCGGUAGAUGGUAACAAUAUAGAAGUCAUCAAGGUGUUUUUGAAACACGGCGGAGAUUUGACAGAUAAAACCAACAAGGGUAACACCGCUUUGCACACGGCUUGUAAUAAGGGUUUCAAGGACGUGGCGGAGUUCCUCCUGGAGAGCGUGAAUAAGAACAACAUGGCCUACCUGAUCAACGCCGCAACUAAAACUGGUCUGAAAACUGCGCUACACGUGGCAGCCCAACAGGGUUAUCUGGAUAUUGUCAAACUUCUACUGAAGAAGGGCGCAGUGUAUAAUUGUGCGGAUAAAGACAAUAAAAAACCCUUGGACCUGGCUCAGGUUCAGUCUGUUAGACUCAUCCUCGAACUUACAGGAGAGAUGUUCGCCGCUGUUGAGAAAAAAGACUACGAUAAGAUCUCCAAACUUUAUACCAUCGAUAUCGAUGAUUUUUUGUGUGUUGCUCACGCUAAAAAUUCCCGUAAUGAAACAAUCUUGAAAUUGUUGAUUUCGAAUGGAGAACUGGAAUCUGCCAGGAGUUUGACUGCGAUGAUAAAGAAGACAAAUGCUGCCGACAGGAAUCUUUGAAUCUCCGCGAUGGGCUAGCCCACUCUUUACAUUCACCAUUUUUUCGUCUCGUAUUGAGAUAUUCGUUGAUCUUAUGUUGAGCGACAUAUUCGUAUAGAUAUAUUUGAAAUGUUUAUUGUGGAAAAACUUCUACGGUAUAAAAUAAUACCGUCAUCAACAAGGAAUUUUUUUUUUCUAAUUUUGAAAUAUAAAGAGAGAGAAGAGAGAGAGAGAACUGUUUUUUAUUGACUGAAUAUCAGACAAGAGGUGACACUAUCUAAAUCUCAUUGACUUUUUGAAACUGAUGUUGAAAAAUACUUGCUUCCAUAGUAACGGAGUGGAAAAUUAAAUGUUUAGACCACUGGGCGAUUUAAAAGGAAUCAGCGAGGGACGCUUGUAUAGACGGUUUUGGUACUUUUUAUUUGAAUUGAUAGUCACAUUCUAUUCAAAAUUAGAAAAAAUAUUGUGUGAAGCACGUUGGGAAACACUACAUUUCGUAUUUCGCGUUCUUUUGCGCAAUUCGAUUCGGUUGUUGCAAAAUACGCACAUUACGAAAAAUAAUGUUUUUCCCAACUGGUUGCACAAAUAAUCCAAAGGUAACUUUUCCACAUUCGCAGCUUUAGUAUGUGAUAUAUUGCCAUUUGCCAAAAGUUUCGGUAAAUGUUUAAUUGAAAAGAUGUCCAAAUGUUAUAAGCAUUUAAUUCGCAUAAAAGUAUGUUGAGUUUAUAGGGCUCCCGACUUUCUGUCCAUUGAUUUGUAAAAUAAGUUACCUUCUCACCUGAAAUCACUGACGGAGGAUAAAUUCAAAUGUGUUGUUAAGGAGGACUACUUUCCACGCCUGUUUACUCCAUUGAGGAGUUUUGUUCUUGUGUUUUCGCUUAGACGUCAAAAUCCGAAAUAAUAAUGAUUUCUAGUGGGAUUUACUAUCAUUAUUUUCUGAGCGGUUGAACUCUUGGACAUCAAGCUCAAUAUGAGUAAUAUUAGUAGCCAAUUCUGCAUUUUAUGUGGACAGUCUAGAACCUCCACAAGUAGACUAUUUCGAGUUCCAAAGGAUGAGAGAAAACGUCAAUCUUGGAUUGACUCCUGCGGUAAGUUUUUGAGGAUAGGGACUUUCGUGUGCUCGAAACAUUUUCUGCCCGAGUUCAUGGGAAUAAAACAUUUGAAAUCCGGAGCUCUGCCUCUGCCAAGGACACCAAAAUACAUUGCAUCCAGGCAAAAUACUGAUGGAACACAUGAAAUGAUAGUGGAUAUCAAUGAGGACGAAAUUAUUGUCGACAAUGAGAAAUUUGAAGUCAAGAUUGAAUCGAUCGAUUCUUAUAACUCUUUGGAGGAAACUGAAGUAAAAAGAGAUGAUGAAAAAAUAUACAAUACCAUUCACUAUGAAUUUACCUCCAUUGAAGACGAGUUGCAAGGGUUCAAGUGUCCCCUUUGUGACUAUGUGUCCACAGUGAAAAAUUUACUGAGAACUCAUAUUUCAAGUGUCCAUCAUAAUCUGGAUCAAUUCAAAUUUCAAUCGAUCAAUUUAUCAGGAAACUAUAAGAACGCAAGGCAACAGUACAUGUGUCAGCUGUGCGACUUUACCUCAGGCAAGAAAUUUGCGUUUUAUGCACACCUCAGGUCGGAACAUCCAAAUUUCAAGAAAUUUCAAUGCCCUUUUUGCGAUUACGCUUCAGAUAUCAGGAAAGUAUUGGAGAAUCAUUUGUCCUACGCUCAUUGCAGUUUGAAAAACCAUGAAUGCCCUGAUUGCGACUUUUCAACUGCGCAUAAAAGUUCCCUUAAACUUCAUAUGAACAGGACAAAAUAUAUCUGCGAAUUGUGCAGCUAUAAAACAUGUAAGGAAAGGACCCUAAGGUUACACAUUGAUGAUGUCCACUUUCAUGAAAAGACUAGGAAGUCUCAUUUUCGUGAAUACUCAACAUUUAAGCCUGAAAUUCUUGAAACUCAGACAACUGACAUUAACUCAAGCACAACAAAUAAUAGAUGCUAUGUAUGUCAUUUAUGUGGUUAUGAAGUGACUGAAUUUUCUCUUCUUGAAGCUCACACAAAUGAAAUACACAAAUAACAUAAAGCUGAGUUUAAUUUCGACAGCACUUACAAUGGAAUUUUAGUGAUUAUAACAGACUUAAAAAUCCUGCUUUUUUGGGGUUAUGUUCAAAUUCAAGGAAAUGAGAGAUAUGAACUCUUCAAAUUUCAAAAAGUGAAUUGCUGUGAAUAUUUGUGAGAUGAUGUGAUAAUUCAAUUAUUCAAGAUUUAAUGGUACGAGUUGGAAAACAAAAACUAACAAUAGGAUACAGUAAACAACUUUAUUAAUAUGAUGGCAACUAACAUACAAGUCUAUAAGAAAUAUAUCGUCCUGCAGUUGCUGAA